UGACAGAGCCUGGGUUUGGCCUGACACGGCUGUCCCUGAAGGCAGGGCAGAAGCACUGGGGGAUGGUGGGGGAUACUCCAGUCCAACUAGAGCAGCAAUCACGGUGAUAUUUAUUUGCACUUCAGUGGUGCAGAGUGAUAAUAGCAGUGAAAACCCCUGUGCGCUAUUGUGAGCCUUUGGCGUGUGGAUAUGGGGUGUGUUGCAAACAGGACAGGUAACUGCAGUGCCAAAUUCCUGUAAGACACGUAAGGUUUACGGGGAGGGAUCCAGCAGGGCAGGCCUGGGCAUUGGAUGAUGGUUGCAAUGCAGGCCUUUUAAAAAGCUGCAAGGCAAAGCCGCAGGCUGCUGUUGGUUCAGAGCCUGUUGCCUAUCUCUCCCACCUGGAUAGGCCCCCUCCUCAAAGCACACACAAGGGAACCAAACUGCAGCCGAUGGGCCUUGCUCUGUCCUGAAGAUGUGCCCGACAGAUGUAAAAAGCGCCCUGCUCGUGUUCAGCAGGGCCACACUCACCUACAAAACAGUCUGGGAGGACGAAGGCUACCAGUCUCUGCUUUCCUAGCACAACUGGUUUUUCUCAGGAGGCCUACGAACACAACCCGAAACCCAGGGAGAAGGGGCUUGUUGCAGAGCAUUCAUCUCAGCCUGUCACUUUAUCUCGUGAACUUGGACUGGGGGCUUGUUCUGUGUUGUCCCCAUUUUAAUCCCUUGCCCUGGAGGCCGCAUACUGCCCAGCUCCUCUGCUGUGGGUCUUCACAGAAACUUGUCAAUGCCACCCUUCAGUCAGCCAGAGGAGACACUGUUGAGCUAUGCAAAGCAUUCCCUGCUCCCCAGCACCUGGAGACAAGCAGGAUAUUCUCUGUGGCAAUGACUUAGGGCUGCAAAGAGACCUCUGUUUUCACACAGUGGCUGCUUCUACACUGGCAAAGCUGGAGACAUUCACUACCCCACCCCCCUUCUCACUACUGCAGGACUGCUGGUGGAAGUGAGAGCUGUAGACAGGGCUCAGGAGGAAGGGCUUUAGGAACUGAAUGCUGGGGGAGUUAGCCUUGUUUGACAAAAAGGUGUGAAAUGAGGGUAAUGCAAUGCUGCUGCUGCCAGAUUGUCUUCCCCUUUUGGCAUAAAGGGCACUGAAGACCAGGAAGGUUUUGCAAAAACAAAGGAAUUUUUAAAAAAUUCUAAACUUGCUUGUUACAGAAAUAAAACAGAAGUGAAACUAGGAACUGUUUUAAUCAUGGAAGCUCCAGUCACUUAUCUCCUAGUCUGUUACCAAAACCCCUCAGUUCACUUUGAUCUCACUGCAGUCCAGGCAUUAUCCUAUAUGUAUCUGGUCUGAAAUAUUGAUGGCAAGUGAAUGUUUUAUGAGCCAAACUUUAGAGGCAGGUGUAUGGUACAGUGCCUAAUUCUGCAGGCAGAGGCACACAGAGGAAGGAAAGGCUACAGGGGUUAAGACCAGAAUUAAUAACUUCCCCUGAACCCAAGAGUGAAACUCUAAAACAAGGAGUUCAGUGGCACCUU